rnacentral:lncRNA from 1 species
AUUUAAUCAAUUCAUAAUGUCUUCCCUUAUCCUAUUUAGUGUUUUUAACUUUCUAUUUCACAUUGCCUGCUAUUAAUAUUGCCUCUCUUGAUGUCUUUCUGUGUAUGUCCAUUGUUUUAUUUGGUCUGAUUUUGCUUUUUUGGUCCUUCUUUUGUUUUCAAACCUCUUUUAUUACUGUAUUUUAAGUAUGUAUUUUGCAAAGUGCGAAAUAUGCUCUUUUUUUAACUGAAUGUGACAGUCUUUUUUAAUAAGAGAACUUCAGUCCAAUUACAUUUUGUGUAAUGCCUGAUAUGCUUGACUUUAUCUUUUGCAUCUUAUUUGUUACUUAUUCGUCUUACCAUGUUGUUUCCCCUUUUAGCUCUUUCUUCUGCUUGCCUGUCUGAUCAAGUCUCAUUCAUCUCCUUUUGCCUUUGUUUUUCUGCAGGUUCCAUUGGGAGUGUUUUUUCUUUUCAUAAAUGGUUACCUUCCCUUCCCUUGCUCUCAUAAUCAGAUAGUAUUACUGGACUAUCAUAUGAAAGCAAGAUAUUAAUUAUUUUCCUUACCAAGAUCCUAGAUUUCCCCCUUUUCCUCCUCCAUUUGAUAAGACUUUUAGAGAACUUUCGUUUUCUUCCUUGUUCAACAUUCUUUCUUUCCUAUCCUCCAGUUCUACUCCCCUCUUCCUCUUUUUCCAUCUUGAGAUUUCUAUUCUGGUCUAUGUCUUGUUUGGCUACAGCCUUUUCUUGUGGGUUUCCCUCUGAAGAAGUACACAAGUAGUAAACUCUUUGUUGUAUAUCUCCACUCUUUCUUUCAUGCUGUCGGGUGAGUGAUAUCUUGUGUUGAAGUCAUUGGUAGUGGUCCUAUUCUGAGGGUAAUCUAUAGAUGCUAGUUCAUUCUUGUUUCCAGUUUCCAUUGUUGCAAAUAAGCCUAAUGCAACUCUGAUACUUUUUCCUUUGUAGAUAAUUUGUUCAUAACUGCUUGGAAACUUGUGAGGUUUUUUUCUUAUAUCCUUAGCAUUCAGGAAUUUUAUCAGACUUAGGUCUUAAACUAGGGAAAUUUUUUUCUGAUGAUUUUUAAUUAUUGCCUUACCUCCAUUUGUUCUUUCUUCUCCCUUUGAAAUUCCCUUGGAUCUGAUUUCCAUUUCCUUUUGAGGUUCACUUUGUUUUGGCUUGUGCUUUGAGAUAUUUCUUAGCACUUAAUUUUUCAGACCACUGAUUCAGAUUUCAAUAGAGACUAUCCUCUCCUUCAGUUCUUCUCCUGAAUUUUUUAUUUUGGAAACUGUGUUUUCAAUUCCAGAAAGAAUUUUUUAUCAUGGUCUUGACUCUUAAUUCAAGAUGUCACUCUUGCCUCCAGCAGCACUCCAUCAGUGGGAUGUUUGUUCUGAUGACUGCUCUUCUCUCAGCUAUUGGAUGGGUUCUUUUUCUAUAUGAACUCGUUGGAGCUCAGAUUCUAAAUGACGGGAAUCUCAUAGACCAUGACUCUCUCUGCCUACGGGGGCCUGUAAUUUACAGCAGGAAGCUGCCAGACCCUGCUGCUGGUCUUGAAGGAAACUCCCCUGCUCUCAAGUUUCCUGGUACUCCCACAGUCUGAGAAACAGGGAGAUCCAGUCUUCCUGCACAGCUCUUUCUUGGCCUUGUAAGGGCAGGAAGAUCUGAGCCAACAUCGUCUUAUGUCUGGAGAUCACAGAUCUCUGACCUCCCAGCAUUUCCCAACAAACGCUGCUUUUAGUCCUCACUAGCUCCCUGAUGAUGGUUUUUCCCACUCCAUGAGGGGAAAAGCAGUGGACUAUUUCUCUCUGCUAGAACGCCAACAGACCCUGAGUCCCUCACGUCUAUUCAACUACCCAUGGAAGCCAGCAGUCAUUAGGCUGUUGAGAGGCAGGUAGCCUAGAGCUGAGGAUGAAGAGAAAGGGAGCUGUUGUCAUGUCAACAUGUGACCAGAAUCUCCUUUAGGCUAACUGUGUUCUAUAACUCAAAUUAACUUUUAUUUAAGUCUCUCACUCCAUCAGGUAGUAAAGAUUUAAUCUCAGUCCAUUCAAGAUCUUCCCUCAUUUUUCCUGGAACCAGAUCAUGGUUCUAGAGUACUUACUUAGUGCUGAGAUGUUGGGACAAGAGAAGUAGGCAUCUGAUCUGAGUCAUCUAUCCGUUUUGCAGGCUCCAUCUGCAUAGAGUCAGACUGUCUGUGUUAGCUAUUAUUACAUGUUCUAACACCUAUAUUCAUGUUAUAAAAAUGCUACAUAAAAGACAAUGAGGCUAGGGUUCCUGGCUGAGCCCAGGUAGUCCGUGCUUUGAAGCUCAGUUAGGGCUUGUCUGCCAAAAUGACAAUAACAUCUGCCGAGAAUAUAUCUGAAUUAGGGACUGAGGAGUUCCCUGGUGAAAAAGGAUUCAUCCUAAGGCAAAGCAAAGUCAGGCACACAAGUCUAUUUCAGUAACCAUGUGUCAGAAUUUGAGCACAGCUUGAUAUCUUUUGCUCACAUUGUACUCCAGCUUCAAGUCCCAGGUUCUCAGGUUCAAGUCCCAGGAAGGUGAGAGGUCAAGAAAAACUAAAACUUGUUUUACUGGGAACUCAGUAGAACACUGACAGUACAAAACAGUAAUAUUUGGGACUUGCACGGCAAAGAUGGGUGAGAGUCUUUUUGUUUAAUUUGGGGGUUGAUGCUGCUUGUUUGUGUUCCUAAUUUCAGCUGGGUCCACUUUGAGGACAGUAACUUAUCAAAGGUAUCAGCAAAACCGGCAAACUGGGGAGAAACAGCACCAAAGACAGCAACAGACUCUGAUAUUUUGGGAGCUCAAGCAGAGGGGAAGGAAAAUGGCAAAUGCUCUAUGACAUCCUAAGUUCUCAAGCAACUCUCCACCAGCCCCAUUUCUCUCCCUGAAAGAACUGAGGAACACACUGAGUGGAACUCAAGUUACCUCAUGAGCUGCUGAGGUUUGAGGAAACACAAUUUUAUAAUCAAAGUUUGAUGGAAAAGGAAACUGAGUCACAUUACCAUUUGCAGAGUCACGUAAGAAAUCAAAGACUGGUGCAAGGAUGAAGUCUAGUUCAUCUAGUUUAUAAUCCAUAAUGUCAUCCCUUUGUCACAUAGGGAAGUAAUGAUUCAAAGUAAAUCACCAACAAAAAUUAAAACCCUCAAAUAUUUGUCCUACUGAUUAUGGCUGUAUGACUUUAUAAUUGGAUUUGAGGGACUAUGGAUUUCUCCAGGCCCUCAAGCAAAGAGAGUGACCUUCAGUCUUGUGCAUGGUUCCAUACAAGAGUGAAAUGUUUUGAAAAGGAACAUGGCCCUUCCUAUCCAAGGCAACCCCACUCCUUCACUCUCUCAAGGAUGUGGCUUAAGGUUUUCUGUUUGCUGCUCCCAAUGGCAGACAUCUUUCUUCUUAUGAUUGCAAUUGCAUGUCUGGUUAUUUUAAGAGUGAGACUAUAACAUUUCUGGUUGAUAAUUAUAGUAAAUCAAUGUGUUAAUAACAGGAUUUCAG